AUUAAUUAAGAAAUUGAAGAGAGAAGAGACCCUACCCAAGCUAGUCGAGAGAAACGACAAUGACACUUUCUUGGCAAUGUUCGGGAUCGAUCUUGGAGUUCAAGAUUUCAGAUUUGGGGCUGAUUUUAAUGAGGAAAAAUGACAGCAAUAUGAUGGAGAAUAUGUUAACAAAUCUUGUGGCAAAAAGAGAAAGAAAAAAAAAAGAAAGAGAUGGUAAAACUAGGUGUAAGUGACGACAACAAUGGAGGAAAGAAAAAAAAAUUGAAGGGAAAAGAGGAGAGGAAGAGGGUGAACGGCUUGGGUAGGUAAAAGUUGAAUUAAAUGCUGAAAAAUACAAUAAAAAUUUAUAUUUACACUUAGGGUUCAAGGGUAUGGAUGACACACACAUUAAAAAACAAGGGAUUUG
rnacentral:lncRNA from 1 species